ACAGGGCGGAGAGGAUCGGAGUCGUUUGGAAUCGGGACAGCCUGCGGCAGCUGACAUCUGUCGAUGAAAGUGUUUCCAGACGAUCUGCACGCUGCACGCGAUCUACUUUCAACUUUUCCUCGAACUGUUAGAAAUUAUCUCUGCGAUUUAUCCAGGAUAGUAACACCGAUUUGAGCAUCCCCAAGUGGCCGAAGACGGAUGAUUAUUUACUAAACUCUACGAAGCUGCGGGUGAAGUUCUCUGAUGUGAGACACGAGGUUGGUGGGCAAGUCUCUGUGGCGACUGCGACGCGCCCAACAGUCGAACCUAAGUCAAGGCAUACUGCAAUCCACCAAAACAACGUGAGAGCACACACAUACUGCGAAAAAAUUAACCUUGACGCCUGGAUCGCGAUUCGCAGCGAAUCUAGACUGUGCGCAAUGAAUUCCUCGCGUGAAAUCAGGUGAAUCAGAUGUACGAAUAAACGGAUUUCAGUAUACUUCACUAUUCGCCAAAAAUGGAUCGCAAGAGUACGAAGGAAUUUUUUUUCGUCCCUAUUUUCCAGCAGAAAACUUUUCUUCGCAGAAUCGAUUUGAACAAUCCUUUCUGGACUAAUUAGGCCGCACGGAUUGCAAAACAAGUAUUGAGCGGUGGUGAGACUAACAGCUGAAUCGAUAGAGGAGUAAUAUGGAAAAAGUCAUUUACAUAUUUAUUUCAUUCCAGGUUACAUGGAAUUGUGACGAUACGAUCGAAUAUCAUACAUAUCGUCACCUGCGGAGCAACAUAGCACUGCCACAUGUAACAUUUUUGUUAGUUUACUCAGGCUGAUGUACAUUUCACUUCUUUUUCCUCACAAAAUAGUCUGAUUUCCUGUAAUGAUUAAUCAUUAUUUUGAAUUUCUGUGCAUCUUUCACCGCAAUGCCAUUUUGUGACAUACUGAGGUGAAAUACAAUAACUC